rnacentral:lncRNA from 1 species
UUCACAACUCUACCUUCCUAUCUUCAGGGUUUUGUUUCGCCUCCUGUCUGUCUACUUACCAGAAGAUUUCAAUUGUAGUGCAUAUUUACAGAUUUUAGGAAACCUAUGUUCCAGGGAGAGACAGUGAAGAAUAUCCUCCGUCUCGUACACUGGCUGAGGCCGUUCCUGCUUUAACCUGAAUCUGAUCUCCUUGAUAGAAUAUGCUGGUGGAAAACUACCCAACCCUGUUCUAGGAACCAAAGGUCACGAUGUCCGAGCCAACUUAAGCCUUGCCUUUGUUCAAACUGUUUGUGUGGAACUCCCUCCAGUGAACCCCUUAUCUUACUUUCUAUUAAAACUGCUUGCCUCAAACUGUUUACUUCUGCAAAGCCCCCCUGCAGCUGCUGAGUCAGAGGCCAAGACAGUCUCUGCUAGUACAAACCCAGAGUUCUAGAGACUCAGAUCCCCAAACUGGGGUAGGAUCCCAGACUGCUAGAUAAAAUAAAGACUUUUAAUUGGCUAUACA